CCUAGGGGGGCUGCAGUGGGGAAUAUUGGACAAUGGGCGAAAGCCUGAUCCAGCCAUGCCGCGUGUGUGAAGAAGGCCUUCGGGUUGUAAAGCACUUUCAGUGGGGAAGAAAGCCUUGGGGCUAAUACCCUCGAGGAAGGACAUCACCCACAGAAGAAGCACCGGCUAACUCCGUGCCAGCAGCCGCGGUAAUACGGAGGGUGCGAGCGUUAAUCGGAAUUACUGGGCGUAAAGCGCGCGUAGGCGGUCUGAUAAGCCGGUUGUGAAAGUCCCGGGCUCAACCUGGGAACGGCAUCCGGAACUGUCAGGCUAGAGUGCAGGAGAGGAAGGUAGAAUUCCCGGUGUAGCGGUGAAAUGCGUAGAGAUCGGGAGGAAUACCAGUGGCGAAGGCGGCCUUCUGGACUGACACUGACGCUGAGGUGCGAAAGCGUGGGUAGCAAACGGGAUUAGAUACCCGAGUAGUC
rnacentral:rRNA from 1 species